UACGGUAGGGUGCAAGCGUUAAUCGGAAUUACUGGGCGUAAAGCGUGCGCAGGCGGCUUUGCAAGACAGAUGUGAAAUCCCCGGGCUUAACCUGGGAACUGCAUUUGUGACUGCAUGGCUGGAGUGCGGCAGAGGGGGAUGGAAUUCCGCGUGUAGCAGUGAAAUGCGUAGAUAUGCGGAGGAACACCGAUGGCGAAGGCAAUCCCCUGGGCCUGCACUGACGCUCAUGCACGGAAAGCGUGGGGAGCAAACAGG
rnacentral:rRNA from 1 species